AGCGAACGCUGGCGGCAGGCCUAACACAUGCAAGUCGAACGAACCUUUCGGGGUUAGUGGCGGACGGGUGAGUAACACGUGGGAACGUGCCUUUAGGUUCGGAAUAACUCAGGGAAACUUGUGCUAAUACCGAAUGUGCCCUUCGGGGGAAAGAUUAAUCGCCUUUAGAGCGGCCCGCGUCUGAUUAGCUAGUUGGUUGAGGUAAUGGCUCACCAAGGCGACGAUCAGUAGCUGGUCUGAGAGGAUGAUCAGCCACAUUGGGACUGAGACACGGCCCAAACUCCUACGGGAGGCAGCAGUGGGGAAUCUUGCGCAAUGGGCGAAAGCCUGACGCAGCCAUGCCGCGUGAAUGAUGAAGGUCUUAGGAUUGUAAAAUUCUUUCACCGGGGACGAUAAUGACGGUACCCGGAGAAGAAGCCCCGGAUAACUUCGUG
rnacentral:rRNA from 1 species